UACGGGGGGGGCAAGCGUUGUUCGGAAUUACUGGGCGUAAAGGGCUCGUAGGCGGCUAACUAAGUCAGACGUGAAAUCCCUCGGCUUAACCGGGGAACUGCGUCUGAUACUGGAUGGCUUGAGUUCGGGAGAGGGAUGCGGAAUUCCAGGUGUAGCGGUGAAAUGCGUAGAUAUCGUGAGGAAGACCAGUGGCGAAGGCGGGUCUCUGGACAGUUCCUGACACUGAGGCACGAAGGCCAGGGGAGCAAACGGG
rnacentral:rRNA from 1 species